UGGGUUUCCUAUAAGCAACAAAAUGUUGAGU
rnacentral:piRNA from 1 species